rnacentral:tRNA from 1 species
GCGAAAGUGGCGGAAUUGGUAGACGCGCAGUGUUGAGGGCGCUGUAGAGAGAUCUGUGAGGGUUCGAGUCCCUCCUUUCGCACCA